rnacentral:rRNA from 1 species
UACGGGGGGGGCAAGCGUUGUUCGGAAUUACUGGGCGUAAAGGGCUCGUAGGUGGCCAACUAAGUCAGACGUGAAAUCCCUCAGCUUAACUGGGGAACUGCGUCUGAUACUGGAUGGCUCGAGUUUGGGAGAGGGAUGCGGAAUUCCAGGUGUAGCGGUGAAAUGCGUAGAUAUCUGGAGGAACACCGGUGGCGAAGGCGGCAUCCUGGACCGGCAUUGACGCUGAGGCGCGAAAGCCAGGGGAGCAAACGGG